ACGAACGCUGGCGGCGUGCUUAACACAUGCAAGUCGAACGGAAAGGCCCUGCUUUUGUGGGGUGCUCGAGUGGCGAACGGGUGAGUAACACGUGAGUAACCUGCCCUUGACUUUGGGAUAACUUCAGGAAACUGGGGCUAAUACCGGAUAGGAGCUCCUGCUGCAUGGUGGGGGUUGGAAAGUUUCGGCGGUUGGGGAUGGACUCGCGGCUUAUCAGCUUGUUGGUGGGGUAGUGGCUUACCAAGGCUUUGACGGGUAGCCGGCCUGAGAGGGUGACCGGCCACAUUGGGACUGAGAUACGGCCCAGACUCCUACGGGAGGCAGCAGUGGGGAAUAUUGCACAAUGGGCGGAAGCCUGAUGCAGCAACGCCGCGUGCGGGAUGACGGCCUUCGGGUUGUAAACCGCUUUCGCCUGUGACGAAGCGUGAGUGACGGUAAUGGGUAAAGAAGCACCGGCUAACUACGUUCCAGCAGCCGCGGUGAUACGUAGGGUGCGAGCGUUGUCCGGAUUUAUUGGGCGUAAAGGGCUCGUAGGUGGUUGAUCGCGUCGGAAGUGUAAUCUUGGGGCUUAACCCUGAGCGUGCUUUCGAUACGGGUUGACUUGAGGAAGGUAGGGGAGAAUGGAAUUCCUGGUGGGGCGGUGGAAUGCGCAGAUAUCAGGAGGAACACCAGUGGCGAAGGCGGUUCUCUGGGCCUUUCCUGACGCUGAGGAGCGAAAGCGUGGGGAGCGAACAGGCUUAGAUACCCUGGUAGUCCACGCUGUAAACGGUGGGUACUAGGUGUGGGGUCCAUUCCACGGGUUCCGUGCCGUAGCUAACGCUUUAAGUACCCCGCCUGGGGAGUACGGCCGCAAGGCUAAAACUCAAAGGAAUUGACGGGGCCCCGCACAAGCGGCGGAGCAUGCGGAUUAAUUCGAUGCAACGCGUAGAACCUUACCUGGGUUUGACAUGGAUCGGGAGCGCUCAGAGAUGGGUGUGCCUCUUUUGGGGUCGGUUCACAGGUGGUGCAUGGCUGUCGUCAGCUCGUGUCGUGAGAUGUUGGGUUAAGUCCCGCAACGAGCGCAACCCUUGUUCACUGUUGCCAGCACGUUAUGGUGGGGACUCAGUGGAGACCGCCGGGGUCAACUCGGAGGAAGGUGGGGAUGACGUCAAGUCAUCAUGCCCCUUAUGUCCAGGGCUUCACGCAUGCUACAAUGGCUGGUACAGAGAGUGGCGAGCCUGUGAGGGUGAGCGAAUCUCGGAAAGCCGGUCUCAGUUCGGAUUGGGGUCUGCAACUCGACCUCAUGAAGUCGGAGUCGCUAGUAAUCGCAGAUCAGCAACGCUGCGGUGAAUACGUUCCCGGGGCUUGUACACACCGCCCGUCAAGUCAUGAAAGUUGGUAACACCCGAAGCCGGUGGCCUAACCGUUGUGGGGGAGCCGUCGAAGGUGGGACUGGUGAUUAGG
rnacentral:rRNA from 1 species